GGCAAGAUGACCGAGUGGUUAAGGUGUGUGACUCAAGCUAUAAAUGCUUGCCCUAGCAAAUAGGGUCGUCUUCACAUGUCGCAAGACGCGUGGGUUCGAAUCCCACUCUUGUCA